GGAUUCCCCUAGUAACUGCGAGUGAAGCGGGAAAAGCUCAAAUUUAAAAUCUGGCGGCUCUGUCGUCCGAGUUGUAAUUUAGAGAAGCGUUAUCCGCGCUGGACCGUGUACAAGUCUUCUGGAAGGAAGCAUCAUAGAGGGUGAGAAUCCCGUCUUUGACACGGACUGCCAGGGCAUUGUGAUGCGCUCUCAAAGAGUCGAGUUGUUUGGGAAUGCAGCUCAAAAUGGGUGGUAAAUUCCAUCUAAAGCUAAAUAUUGGGGAGAGACCGAUAGCGAACAAGUACCGUGAGGGAAAGAUGAAAAGAACUUUGGAAAGAGAGUUAAACAGUACGUGAAAUUGUUGAAAGGGAAACGCUUGAAGUCAGUCGCGCCGUUCAGGACUCAGCCUUGCUUUGCUUGGUGUACUUCUUGUUCGGUGGGUCAGCAUCAAUUUUGGUCGGUGGAUAAAGGCUCAGAGAAUGUGGCACCUUCGGGUGUGUUAUAGCUUUGGGUCGCAUACAUCGGCUGGGAUUGAGGAACUCAGCACGCCGCAAGGCCGGGUACUUGUACCACGUACGUGCUUAGGAUGCUGGCAUAAUGGCUUUAAUCGACCCGU
rnacentral:sRNA from 1 species